CCUACGGGGGGCUGCAGUAAGGAAUAUUGGUCAAUGGGCGCAAGCCUGAACCGGCCAUGCCGCGUGAAGGAAGAAGGCCUUAUGGGUCGUAAACUUCUUUUAUAAGGGAAAAAAUUGGGGUACGUGUACCUCAUUGCUUGUACCUUAUGAAUAAGCAUCGGCUAACUCCGUGCCAGCAGCCGCGGUAAUACGGAGGAUGCGAGCGUUAUCCGGAUUCAUUGGGUUUAAGGGGUGCUGAUAAGGACUGAUUGAAAUCCCAUAGCUCAACUAUGGAUCUGCCAUUGAUACUGUCAGACUAGAGUAUAUUUGACGUAGGCGGAAUGCGACAUGUAGCGGUGAAAUGCUUAGAUAUGUCGCAGAACACCGAUUGCGAAGGCAGCUUACGAAACUAUAACUGACGCUCAUGCACGAAAGCGUGGGGAUCAAACAGGAUUAGAUACCCGAGUAGUC
rnacentral:rRNA from 1 species